UUCAACUGUGUCAUUUGUACAAUAAAAAAUUAAACUUCAGGUGAAGAUGCCUGAAUCAUAUUGAAAGACAAGAAGACCCUAUAGAGUUUUAGUAAACUAACCCACCUCUCGUGAAAUAACUUUUGUUGGGGCGACAAAGGAUUAAUAAAACCAUCCUAAAUAAACCGAAUACACCCUUCUAUGAUAUGACCCUUUUUAAAGAUCGCAGGAUAAACUACCUUAGGGAUAACAGGCUAAUCUCCUUUUAGAGUCCUAAUCGAAAAGGAGGAUUGGCACCUCGAUGUUGGCUUAGAGAACCCUUCUACUGCAACAGGUAU
rnacentral:rRNA from 1 species